rnacentral:rRNA from 1 species
AUGGCAGCCACAACAAAAAAUGUUUCACCUUCAAAGGCUCUGCUCUACAAUCCUGUGCUAAUCCGUUCCUCCAAGAUUAUCCUCGGGCCAAUGGCGUAUGAAGAUGAGGCAGCUAUUGUUAAGGCAAUUAAGCAAGAGAGAACUGUGAAUAUUCAGAAUCAUGUAUUAGUUUCUGGUGUAGUUGUGGAUGCAUAUGAAUUUGAUGAUGUUAGCAAGCCACUGAAGUCUGGGCAUAUUUUACAUGCCAACAAACGGGAGGAUAUACCGUUUAGUAUAGUAGGACAAAAGCUUGAAGGGUCCAUGACUGGCAAGACUCCUGCUUGUUUUUUGGUGAGCGAGAACACAGAGCUGACUAGAAUGAAGAAUGUCUUGAAAAUGGGUUUCAAUUUGAAGAACGUUGGUAUUCUGAAACCAAUUUUCGUUGCUCAGAGUGAUCAGAAUCCUCAAGUUGUUCCUCAGGGUCAAGUUCCUCCUCCAGAUCCUCAAUUGCCAAAAGUAGUGUCUGGAUUCAGUCCAUAUGAUCAAUCCUUCAUUGAUUGGUUAACUUCUCAGAAUGUCAAUAUGAAGACAAGAGGUCCGUAUCUCUUUAAGGAGGAAAAACAGAUGCUCAGGACGGCCUAUGCAGCAAUUGACGAAAUGUGGAAUAAUGACUAUACAUGUGACAGUUUGGCUGAUCCUGCGAGCUAUGUCAUGAUAGGGUGGAGAAUUAAAAUUCUGCCGCAUCUUAUCCGUCGCAAAGUUCAAACAGAUAUUGACGUUAUGCCUCUUCGCACAGCUUUUGCAGAUUUGAUUGAAAAUAACCUAGCAUCACUAUGGGCAAAUCCAGAAUUACAUGACUUCAUUCUUCUUCUUAAAAAGGAAAAGGCAAGGACUGUUGACGAUAUAUUUGGCCACCCCAUUCUGCUUACCCCGGGAAGACGGCAGAUUUUGUAUCGUACAUUCAGUACAAGGAGGAUAUCUGUGAACAUGAAAAACUUUUUGAACAAAAUUCCAUUCUCUCCUCACUGGAGAGUUAACAAGCCUCAUAAUCAUGUUGUUUUGGAUAGUAUUUGUCAAAACCGCACAUUCUCAAAUGAUGUCGUAGGGGCGCUAAUGUUUGCUGAUAUGGUCUCUAGACAUUAUGUGGAGCACGCGAAGAUUAUUUUCGAGGCGAAUUGGGUUAAUCAUGUAAGGGAGGAUACAAUUGACAGAGCGUUGAUCCAAAGUGUGCCUGGCCUGCUCAGCAAACGCUAUGCUCAGGGCUUUGAUGCGGACUACCCAAGACCUCAAUUACCAUCCUAA